rnacentral:sRNA from 1 species
AGCAGCCGCGGUAAUUCCAGCUCCAAUAGCGUAUAUUAAAGUUGUUGCAGUUAAAAAGCUCGUAGUUGAAUUUCGGGAUUAAUUUACUGGUCGUGCUAUUGUACGUACUGGUUUUAUUGGUUCCUCCCUUCUGACGAACUAUGAUGUCAUUAAUUUGGUGUCAUAGGGAAUCAGGACUGUUACUUUGAAAAAAUUAGAGUGUUUAAAGCAGGCUCACGCUUGAAUACAUUAGCAUGGAAUAACGGAAUAGGACGUUUGAUUCUAUUUUGUUGGUUUCUAGGAUCGACGUAAUGAUUAAUAGGGAUAGUUGGGGGCAUUAGUAUUCAAUUGUCAGAGGUGAAAUUCUUGGAUUUAUUGAAGACUAACUACUGCGAAAGCAUUUGCCAAGGAUGUUUUCAUUAAUCAAGAACGAAAGUUAGGGGAUCGAAGACGAUCAGAUACCGUCGUAGUCUUAACCAUAAGCUAUGCCGACUAGGGAUCGGAUGAUGUUAAUUUUUUAAUGUACUCAUUCGGCGCCUUA